rnacentral:rRNA from 1 species
UGGGGAAUUUUGGACAAUGGGGGCAACCCUGAUCCAGCGACGCCGCGUGAAGGAUGAAGGUCUUCGGAUUGUAAACUUCUUUUGAAGGGGAUGAAUGGCCCGGUGAAGAGCCGGGAGUGACAGUACCCUUUGAAUAAGCCACGGCUAACUACGUGCCAGCAGCCGCGGUAAUACGUAGGUGGCAAGCGUUACUCGGAAUCACUAGGCGUAAAGCGCAGGUAGGCGGUUGGGUAAGUCUAUUGUGAAAGCUCCCGGCUUAACUGGGAGAGGUCAAUGGAAACUACUCGGCUAGAGUGUGGUAGAGGUAGCUGGAAUUCCCGGUGUAGCGGUGAAAUGCGUAGAUAUCGGGAGGAAUACCUAUGGCGAAAGCAGGCUACUGGACCAUCACUGACGCUGAUCUGCGAAAGCUAGGGGAGCAAACAG